GAAUUAUUUUUGUGGAUUCUUUUGUCAAGAUGAAGAUUGCUUUUUCUAUGAGCAGCAGCUUCAUCAUAUAUACUUGAGGUUGUUAUUUUGAGCCGCUAGAAAAUGUAGGAACAGCAACAGCAACCACUAGUAAAAUAUGUAGCAUUUAUUCACUUUUGAAUAUCACUAAAUAAAUUAAGUUCAAGUGAAAAAUUUAUUGUAAUAUGAUUUAUGAUAAUGUAGAAUGAAUGUUAUAAAUUGUGAAUUAAUUGAAGAUAUUUGAGGCAACCCGCUAGCUCUUUUUUAUUUGUUUCUUUGUUUCUAUAAUUUUAUUGAUGAUUUAUUAUCUCUUAUCAUUCUGAUUUUGUGACUUUGAUCUUCAGUAUAAGGGUUCUCAUCAAUGGUUUGAUUGUUGUUGUACUUGACUAUUGAAUUCUUUAUCCUGUGCUCAUGUAUCAGAAAUCAUCCUUCAUUAGUACAAGUUCUAUCUAACCAUGCAUGAUUGUUGUGAAAAUAGCAGCUGGUAUUCAAAUCUGUUAUUUACCCAACUUCCUGAUUUCAAGAAGUUCCUGAUUUCAUGUCUUUAAUGAUGAAUUGGUUGACUACUAUGCUAAUAUUUGGUUCUGGUGCUUAUACAUUAUUUUUCAAGCUCUGGAUAUCAAUGACUGGUUGCAUCAAAUAAUAAUUAAUCUCUGGGAUCUGAUGAAUCAUGAACAUGGAUGUGGCUGUACCUGCUCGAAUUUCUUUGCAUGAUAUGGCUGCUCUCUGGGGCCAUAUUGAUAGAUCUUGAUUACUGUCAUAAGUGUCAUCACAAUGGUGAUAUCCGAGUUAGAUCAUGAAUGAUUUUCUAGAUUGCAUAUAUGUCUUUCAUUAAUUGCUUUCUGUCAUUUUCUAGACAUUAUUUAUAACAAAUGCAAUACUCAUAAGACUUAUUUAUUGCAACUAUAUCUAUUUUUAUGUUUGUAUCUCAUUUGGUUAUUAUAAGUUUAUAACACAUUAGUUAUAUGUUUUUAUUAUGUAGUGUAUCCUGAACGAUUUGCAUCCCAUAUUUUUAGAAAAAUGUCAAGUCACAAUCCAUAUUGUCAUGUAUCCAUGUUUCCUGUUGUACCUAUGCUUUCCUAGGUCAUCUCUCAUCUGUACUCGCUACUCAGCACGAAAGGGGAAUGAUGUUAUUGCUAAUGCUUAUAACAUAAGGUGUGAGCUUUCGCCACAUGACAUGGUGUGAGAAAGGUCUUCUUUUGAUGUGACAGAAACCGCCCAAGAAUCUCUGCUAGUUCAAUGGCUUGCCACUACUUUGUUGCUGCAGCAUUCUACUAGUGCUAUUAAAGUAAAUACUUCGGCUUUGGGGUAUGAGGUUUAUUGAAGCGUUUGGUUUCAUGUCAUGCAGGUUUUAUCAGAUGAUAACAUGAAUUUUGGUUCUAAUGCUGUGAAAGGCUGUGGAUGAUAUCAUUGAGGCAAAUGAUGUUAUUGGAGAUGACAAAGGCGAAGUUACAAGUUUGCCAUGGAUUGAGAUGUCUCAUUCUAUCAUAAGAUCUUUUCUAGGUCCUAUGUUUUGAAUGACACACAGAGGAUCUAAAAUGGUUUCUUGCCAUAGAAGUUAUCUGUAAUAUGAUGUGAUUUACUAUUUGCAGAGUACAAAUUGAUUCCUUCAGGCUUCAGGCCACCAUUUUAGGAUCUUCAAUUUGUGAAAUAUAAUUAUGUUUAUGGUUUUUCA